rnacentral:rRNA from 1 species
UACAGAGGUCCCAAGCGUUGUUCGGAUUCAUUGGGCGUAAAGGGUGCGCAGGCGGCGAGGCAAGUCGGACGUGAAAUCUCGGGGCUUAACCCCGAAACUGCGUUCGAUACUGCCUUGCUCGAGGACUGGAGAGGAGACUGGAAUUCCUGGUGUAGCAGUGAAAUGCGUAGAUAUCAGGAGGAACGCCAAUGGCGAAGGCAAGUCUCUGGACAGUUCCUGACGCUCAUGCACGAAGGCCAGGGGAGCAAACGGG